rnacentral:rRNA from 1 species
GAUGAACGCUGGCGGCGUGCCUAAUACAUGCAAGUCGAGCGAACAGACGAGGAGCUUGCUCCUCUGGCGUUAGCGGCGGACGGGUGAGUAACACGUGGAUAACCUACCUAUAAGACUGGGAUAACUUCGGGAAACCGGAGCUAAUACCGGAUAAUAUAUUGAACCGCAUGGUUCAAUAGUGAAAGACGGUUUUGCUGUCACUUAUAGAUGGAUCCGCGCCGCAUUAGCUAGUUGGUAAGGUAACGGCUUACCAAGGCAACGAUGCGUAGCCGACCUGAGAGGGUGAUCGGCCACACUGGAACUGAGACACGGUCCAGACUCCUAAGGGAGGCAGCAGUAGGGAAUCUUCCGCAAUGGGCGAAAGCCUGACGGAGCAACGCCGCGUGAGUGAUGAAGGUCUUCGGAUCGUAAAACUCUGUUAUUAGGGAAGAACAAAUGUGUAAGUAACUAUGCACGUCUUGACGGUACCUAAUCAGAAAGCCACGGCUAACUACGUG